AUGCACUGCGCAGGUGGCACAGAUGCUCUCUGCUUGUGCCGUAGUGGGGUAAUGUCUUUUGGCACGGCUGGUAGUUUUAUUCUCACGCGUCUUGCAUUCGUCCUCAAGACCUCCUCGAAUAAUUCGCAGAGUCCGCCGCGCUGUUCGGGAGGCUUCCAGUGCUAAUCAAGCGACUAGUGUACCGGGGAGGCUCCAAGCCGCUCACUUGCCUAUCGGCCACCUUCCACCGUUUGACAUCGCAACUCCUUCGGUCGGUACACGAUGAAACGUGGGGUUACCCUCUGCAGCUGGAAUGCGGCCCGCAACCUCCCUUGUACUCGCGAUGUAGCUCACCAAAACGGAUGGGAAGUGACGAGAGCACCGAAGGAUGUUUACGACAUGGGCUGCUCCGUCGAUGGGCGGCUGCUCGUGUUCGCGAUGAGCCUCGGCUGUGUGCGCACGUCGCCCCGUCUCUCAAGCCCCUGCGCUGUUCCGCGCUCUGGCGUCCCCAGCUGCUCCUCUCUCUCUCUACCUCCGCGCCUUCUGAGCCUCUGCCCCCUCCCCUCCCCUCCCCUCCCCCACCCCGCGUCUUCGCCUCGUUGCUCAACGGUGCAGGAACGGAGGGGGAGGAGGCUAUUCAGCGGGCCUCAUGCUUUGCGUGCAAGGGUGUGCGCCGUCAGAGAUGCGCCCGCAUGCUGCGCAGCAGGGGGGAGGAGGGGGGAGGCGUAGAAAGUGCGCGCAUCAAGUGAAACAAAACGACUUCCAGCGUGUCGCGGAGCGCUCCGUCGGGCGUGCCCACGAUCCGCAGCGGACCACGUGCCGGAGCGAAGCGGUCCUCCCAAGAAGUGGUGCGAGGGAGACAGCUUGACCACCGCCACGUUCUCUCCCCUCUGCGUCUUUUGAUUUCGCUUCAUCGAACGUGUCGGUACUGCCGAGCAUCUGCGGCGUCGGUGGCUAACAUCCGGUAGUGCGGCGAGCUCUUUUCGUCGUUUUCUGUCGUUUCUUGGUCUCUUGCCUCGCUCCGUCGGCGCCGAGGGAGCGGGAGGUCGCGCGCACAAGACAGCGGAAAGACACGUGGAGAGAGCGGACGCUGGAGAGAUGGAGAAGCGGGGUGAGGUGUGGAGCUGGGUGCAUCGGUUGGGUGGGUGGUGAGGGGAGGGUGAAGGGCGAAAGAUGUCGUAAGGAGGCACGCGGUGACGUGAUAUCUGCGGCCUCGCUCUUUUUUUUUCUUGUUUUUCGACGUUUCGCCUCGGAAUGAAAGGGCCUUCGUCUGUCUCCUCCUCGUCGUGGCCGGUACGCCCCCUCUGUGGCACGGCCCUCUCUGGGCAGUGUUUUUGAUGCAGUGCCGGUGUGUGUGGUUGCGUGCGCGUGCAUUCGCGGUUAUACGACUCCGCCGUGGCGUCUGCGCAGUG
rnacentral:misc_RNA from 1 species